AUGGCCAACACUACAAAACUCAUGAAAGAAAGAGAAGAACAAAGUUGGAGCAGCUCGAUUACGCCACCGAGAUCUCUUCGGCGGGCCAAUUCCAGCCGACGGAUUUUAAAGCACCACAAGGUAAGCACCGGUCAGAUUCCACUGUUGCGAACCAAACACCGACCAAAUCCACACGUUGCUCCACUCCUUCCCACCGGAAUCACAGAUAAGAGAGUUUGA